AGCUAGGCAACUUUCUUCUUAAGACACGUUCUUUACAAAUGUAUUACUUCAUAAGCGAAGCAGGGUCGGGCCUCGUUAGUACUUGGAUGGGAGACCACCUAGGAAAACCAGAUGCUGUAGGUG
rnacentral:rRNA from 1 species